AUAUUGUACUCUAAAUAUUGGGGCCACAUGAUAAAAAAGAUUAAAUUCCUGCCUUUGUGGCCUUUAAUGGCCUUCUAAUGGGGAGAUAAAUAUGAAACAGAGUUUCAGUUUUACAGUGUUUAGGUGAUGUAAACAAAAUAAAGUAGAGUGAGUAAACCCCAAGAGAACAAAGGGGCAGGUGUGUGGUUUAAAUAUGGUGGUUGGGGGUGGAGGGGUCAGGAGACUGUGUGGUAUGGAUACGUGAGCCAGGGAAGAUCUUUAUGGGCAGAAGUUUAGCAGGUGAGAGUCCUGAAGUGGAAAUGAGCUUGCAGGCUCAAAGCAACAAGCAGUCUGAGUUGCUGGGACAGGGAAACUGAUAGCAUGCUAGGAGAUGAGCAGGCCAGCCCCUAAAGUUUCAGGAUCAGGUUCGAGUCAAAAUGAAGGUUAAAAAUCUUAUGUCUAUGAAUUUAACAGUUACAAAUCAAACUAUACUCAUGGCCUGGUCAGCAUUUCUACUUCUUGACCUCGAAGUUAAAGGGACAUGUUCUUGCUUCUUUGGCCAGGUUGGCAUCUACAAGCCUGACUGAGAACAUUGAUCUGUUGAGGCUGGGUAGGGGAGAAGUUGGGCUUGCAUGCAUGCAAGACUCCUAAAUGAUGAUGAGAUCUACCUGAACCCACUAGAGAGCUUGACCUGGUUCAACUGAGACCUGAACUGUGGCAGAUGUUCCUCCUCAGGCCUAAUUUUGCUAACUCACGAUUUCCAGCCUUCCAGCCUUUAAAAUGCCUUCCAAAAGUAUCCCAUCAUAGAGAAGACAGCAUGGCUACCCAGGAGAUACGGCCUUUUGGAGAACUUGGGAGAUCCCAACUUUAAAGAGGUGCAGAGUUAUGGGGAGAAGAUCCAGCACUGUUUGGACCACAGGGAAAGCAGGCCUUCAGACGAGAGUCGGGAGUAUCUUGAA